CAGCCGCCGCGGUAAUACAGAGGGUGCGAGCGUUAAUCGGAUUUACUGGGCGUAAAGCGUGCGUAGGCGGCUUUUUAAGUCGGAUGUGAAAUCCCUGAGCUUAACUUAGGAAUUGCAUUCGAUACUGGGAAGCUAGAGUAUGGGAGAGGAUGGUAGAAUUCCAGGUGUAGCGGUGAAAUGCGUAGAGAUCUGGAGGAAUACCGAUGGCGAAGGCAGCCAUCUGGCCUAAUACUGACGCUGAGGUACGAAAGCAUGGGGAGCAAACAGGAUUAGAUACCCCCGUAGUCCCUGUCUCUUAUAA
rnacentral:rRNA from 1 species